UACGGAGGGGGCUAGCGUUGUUCGGAAUUACUGGGCGUAAAGCGCACGUAGGCGGCUUUGUAAGUUAGAGGUGAAAGCCUGGAGCUCAACUCCAGAACUGCCUUUAAGACUGCAUCGCUUGAAUCCAGGAGAGGUGAGUGGAAUUCCGAGUGUAGAGGUGAAAUUCGUAGAUAUUCGGAAGAACACCAGUGGCGAAGGCGGCUCACUGGACUGGUAUUGACGCUGAGGUGCGAAAGCGUGGGGAGCGAACAGG
rnacentral:rRNA from 1 species